ACUUUCCAGCUUGCGAAAGCAGACAG
rnacentral:miRNA from 1 species